AUUUAGCUCACGAGUCCCAAAUAGGACGAAACGCGCGUCAAACUGGAU
rfam:Schistosoma mansoni strain Puerto Rico chromosome W, complete genome